GUCUUCAGUCAUGCCAUCCUGAACACACCUGACCCCAUCUAAGAAGCUAAGUAGGGUCAGGCCUGGUCAAUACGUUGAUGAGAGAAGAAUGAGAAAGAAAUACUGACUGACA
rnacentral:rRNA from 1 species